rnacentral:rRNA from 1 species
GACGAACGCUGGCGGCGUGCUUAACACAUGCAAGUCGUACGGUAAGGCCCUUUCGGGGGUACACGAGUGGCGAACGGGUGAGUAACACGUGAGUAACCUGCCCACAACUUUGGGAUAACGCUAGGAAACUGGUGCUAAUACUGGAUAUGUGCUCCUGCUGCAUGGGGGGGGUUGGAAAGCUCCGGCGGUUGUGGAUGGACUCGCGGCCUAUCAGCUUGUUGGUGGGGUAGUGGCCUACCAAGGCGGCGACGGGUAGCCGGCCUGAGAGGGUGACCGGCCACAUUGGGACUGAGAUACGGCCCAGACUCCUACGGGAGGCAGCAGUGGGGAAUAUUGCACAAUGGGCGCCAGCCUGAUGCAGCAACGCCGCGUGCGGGAUGACGGCCUUCGGGUUGUAAACCGCUUUCAGCAGGGACGAAGCUUUUUGUGACGGUACCUGCAGAAGAAGCACCGGCUAACUACGUG